rnacentral:lncRNA from 1 species
CAAUCACGGGUCACUCUCGCGAUCUAGUGCUGCUUUUAAUUUGAAAAUUGGAAGGCCCCAUUCCUCGUCAUAAUGAUGCCCAGAAUUCAAUCUCGAACCACCGCUAUGGUAAUACUGCGAGAGGCACCGAGGUUGAUUCCGCUAUUAUGACGGUGGUAAGAAUCCAAUGGAAGGUCAUGUAGCGUCACGGAAUACUCUUUACUAGUCUUGCCUUCUAUCGGCAUAUUUCGACAUAGUUCAUCAAAUUAAUACCAACUACCCAUAUAUUUUGACGACUCCAAGAUGUCAGAUGGAAACGAGGAGGAUUUACAGGAAGUUGUCAUGACAGUAUGAACUGCUAGUUGCCAUGGUAGAAAGAUACAAAGAACUCCCUGAGGCCCAUCCAGACCAGUAGCAACUGUAGAGAAGCAACACCAGACCGUUCUGGAGCAUCUACCACCAGAAUGGCUACAAAAGACUGCGCACCCUGGCCAGACCUGGACAAAACGAACACCUCCCCUGUCAUCCGCCACCUUGUGGAGAACAUGUCAGAAGAGUAAGAGCAAUAGAAAGAAAAAGAAAAAAAACUGUUUUGUUCAGUUGUCUGCUUAUUGUCUGAAUAUUUUUUUAUUCUUUUGUAGGCAAUGGAAAGUUGUCCAUGAAGCACUGUGUGAACCUAAUUCUACAGUUGAACUUGGCCAUCUUUGCUCAAACAUAGUCAAGGCAGUAACCCAGACUACCCAUCAUCACCUCCUUCCAGCCCUCAGCAAGGUGCUGGGCGUACCUUUGA